AGGUCGGAUUAGCUAGUUGGUGAGGUAAUGGCUCACCAAGGCGACGAUCCGUAACUGGUCUGAGAGGAUGAUCAAGUCACACUGGAACUUGAGACACGGUCCAGACUCCUACGGGAGGCAGCAGUGGGGAAUAUUGGACAAUGGGCGAAAGCCUGAUCCAGCCAUGCCGCGUGUGUGAAGAAGGUCUUCGGAUUGUAAAGCACUUUAAGUUGGGAGGAAGGGCAGUUACCUAAUACGUGAUUGUUUUGACGUUACCGACAGAAUAAGCACCGGCUAACUCUGUGCCAGCAGCCGCGGUAAUACAGAGGGUGCAAGCGUUAAUCGGAAUUACUGGGCGUAAAGCGCGCGUAGGUGGUUUGUUAAGUUGGAUGUGAAAUCCCCGGGCUCAACCUGGGAACUGCAUUCAAAACUGACUGACUAGAGUAUGGUAGAGGGUGGUGGAAUUUCCUGUGUAGCGGUGAAAUGCGUAGAUAUAGGAAGGAACACCAGUGGCGAAGGCG
rnacentral:rRNA from 1 species